UUAAUCAAGAACAACUCAAUUUAAAAUAAUUUAUAAACAAACUAUGAUUAAAAAUUACACUAUGAAUAAUUUAUGACUUAACAAUUCAAAUCACGAUUCGAAAUUUAAAUAAAUUAACAAAACACGAUACGAUACUACACUAAGAACAAUCUAUGAUUUGACAGUUGGAUAAACUACGAUCUAAGAUUUUAAUCAAUCAAGACUAAUUCGCGAUUUGAAUAAAUUAAGAAAUUAAACAAGGAAGGGAAAAGGAACGGAACAGGGAUACAUAUUUUAAUAAUAAAUGUGGAAUACCUAAAAUACAAAUCCACAAAACCAACUAAUAACUAACAGAUAUAAAGAAAUACAUUACGUUAUAACAAUCCAAUACAUAUGAAAAUAGUACAUAUGCGGAAUAUACAUACAUGCAUCAUAUAUAUAUAUAUCGGAUUCACAUUAUGAUUAGGGUUGGGAUUAAAGGGGCGUGAAAUGAAUCUUCGUUGUGGUUAGACUUUGUCGUUAUGCAAUAGAGAAGAUAUUGACUAAUGCAAACACGAUCGUUACAGAUAUCGACAAGUAACAGUGGUAAUUAGAUACUCGAAACGCUAGUGACAAUGAUUCUAGGUUCGAUAACGAAUCCACGGUCAACAGGAUAACUCUUUAUUAAACGUAAAAUACUUUAACACGCAAACACGUUUAAUGGGACGCUCUGUCGACCAAAACAAUGACAUACUCUUUAGAGUCACUUUUACCGCUCAGUUUGCCCGUUAUGUCCAUGUGCACUGUAUGCCAAGAUAUGCUGGUCUUGGGUAUAGGAUGUAAUUCAGCUUGUAUUUUACCUGACCUUCGUUGCGAUUAGACAUUGUCGUUAUGCAAUAGAGAAGAUAUUGACUAGAGCAAAUAUGAUUGUUACAGAUAUCGACGAGUAACCGUGGUAAUUAGAUACUCGAGACGCUAAUGACAAUGAUCCUAGGUUCGAUAACGAAUUCGCGGUCAACGGGAUAGUGGAGUCGCAAGCAGGAAUGAAUUUUCGUCGCGAUGAUGCCACCGAGGAAAACUAUGACGGGGUGUGCCCAAGGGUACGAGACCAUCGGAUUUGUGGAGAAAGCCUUCGUUCGGAAAGUGAGGGAAAUUGGCGUUGCUGUUAAUUGGUCAAUUUCCAUGUCGGUGGUUAGAAAAGGACGCUAGCCGCCCUUGAGGAAAAGUUGCUAGUGGGAAGCGUCGUUCAUGAGGAAAUAGGUUUCCCCUAUCCUCCCGUAGUUGGGACAAAGACUGUUUGUCCAUUUGAAGGUCUUUAGUUAACUAAAUCUUAAGAUUUAUAACGGGUCCUCAGGCUAGCUGAACAUGCACUGCGGAGACGCAUCGACAUCUGGCAACCAUCUUACCCGGAGAGUAGAGCCACGGGACAGAGACCGUUGAAAUGUCCAUUGUCAAGUAUCGCUGCAACUAUUUCUUUUAAGGAGAGCUAUACUGUUACUCUAUACCUUUGUUAAACAAACGUUCAUCCCUUGACCGCGGCUACGUUGGCGACUGGUUGUCGCCUCGAGCCCAAGCUCACUGUCACGAAUCUCAAAUAAGUACAAUCGGGUUGAAUGACAAUUGUUUAAUUACGGCUAUGGUAGAAUCUAGAUUACAAUAUUACGGGAUUUUCCCAAAGUUCCAAAGGAAGGCUCCGGUGUUCUUUCAUCUCCGACAUAUAUAUAUAUAUAUAUAUAUAUAUAUAUAUAUAUAUCACAUGUAGUAAAUAAAAGAUGAAUGACGCGAGACAAAUAAAAAAUAAUAAAACAAAACAAGGUACGCACUGGGACAGUCUGCAUAAGGAACCUUUGACGAAGACACCUCUGUAUUCACCAUUUAAAAUCAUAAUCACCAAAACCUACACCGAAAAACAAUAAAUCAAACCAAACACUGGAGACAACAAUCAGAUGGAAAUAUUAACCAAAUGAGUAAAAUAACGUAAAGACACAUUUCACGAAGUCUCUCCAUACACUGGGAGCAUACAGCAGGGAAGAUUUCCCCGACCGGAAGAGCGGAGACAUAGGAGAAUAUCCAGGACUUCGGCAGAAGUCUCCUCAGGGAAGCGAGCCUUCGCACAGUCAUCUGUAUCGUCUUCAUGAGCAAUCCACACAUUUUUGGAAUCUCUUCUCCUCUGGCGCUAAAACAAUACAUACAAGAUCAGGCAGACAAACGGACGAAAGACCAUAGGAAAGAAGACAAAGUUAAAAUAAAUAAAAUAAUACAUACUCGUACAGGUUGGACAAAUGCAGGUACUUCCAUGUCCAUAACCAACAUAACCUGCACUCACAGAGGAAAAUAUAUAAACCCCAACAAACUAAAAUAUCGAGGAAACUAAAAUAAAUAAAAUUUAUUCGAUCUACGAUAUCGAACUGAACCGUCAAAACCGCGCAUCGUCAUGCACAAACACACAUUAAAACUUAAUGCCGUAUUCACAAACGAAAAUGUAAACUAUUACAUAAAAACAAUCAAAUGGACGAAAUACCAUUAGAAAUAGGAGAAGGUUAAAAUAAAUAAAAUGAUACGUAUUACAACCAACUAAAAUACCGAGCAAACUUAAAUAAAAUAAAAUAAAUAAACAAAAAAAAAACAACACUAAAAAUAAUUUAUUCGAUUUACAAUAUCGAACUACCACGCACAACUGCGCAUUAGAAUUUACUAUGAAUUAAUAAUAAUAUUGUCUAUUGACAAUAGAAAAUAUAAACCAUCGCACAAAACGAUCAAAACGCGUAAGAUGUGGACAGAUAAUAAAUAACAGAAACACAUAACACGACACUAUGAAUAUAAGACAACCUCAAAUUGUAAAACUAUAUACCUUAUUGAACGAAACUGUCACACAAUAUAACAAUUCACGAAAUUCCCCAUAAACAAAUAAAUUGAGCCUCAACAUAAAUUACGCAAGAUAACUGGAAGAAAAACGUUAUUAUGGGAGAACAACGAUUACGCGUGGUACACGUACGACAAUUCCACAGAGCAAUAAAAGUCGCACUACCACCUCCACUAUUAUUCGCAUGUAAGAUUCCGAUACACGUGCCUUGAACGUUCCCACUGGCAUCAGCAUAGAAGGUUCCAAAAGCUUCCCAGACGCAACGUAGAUUCUUCAACAAGGACACGUUGCCACGCACCUUGAACAUUCCCACAGUCAUCAGCAGGAAAGGUUCCAGAAACAUCGCAGACACAACUUCAGCAAAAGACGAAACCAGUAUAAUAUCCUCAUUUCAUCACGUACUUUGAAUGGUCUCAUCAGCUCCGGAGAAGGAAUAUGAGAAGUCAAGACAUCAGCGAUCACCAAAAUCUACGUUCUCUCACGUACGAUGGCGGGAACACCAAAACUGCAACAUUGCGAUUCCCACAGGAGCAAACUGUCACCCAGUGGGGGAUUUAAUUAUAAAUAAGCCUAGAGACAUAGAAAACACGCUUAGUUACCGGUUGAUUAUUCGAAGUGUUUACACCGUCAUUCUGUCAGUUUGAUUCACAAAUAAUUUUUACAAUCAAAAUUUAUAAGUGUUAAUUACGAGUAAAGACGCUUAGUUACAGUUUAUUAUUCAAAGUGUUUAUACCGUCACUCUGUCAGUUUGUCUCUCAAAUAAUUGUUACAAAGAAAAUUGUAAGUGUUAACUAUUGUUAUCAUUCGAGAAUCACGGAAUAAAUCCGUGCGGAAAUACCAA